UACGAAGGGAGCUAGCGUUGUUCGGAAUCACUGGGCGUAAAGCGCACGUAGGCGGAUGUGUCAGUCAGGGGUGAAAUCCCGGAGCUCAACUUCGGAACUGCCUUUGAUACAGCACGUCUUGAGUCCGAUAGAGGUGGGUGGAAUUCCUAGUGUAGAGGUGAAAUUCGCAGAUAUUAGGAAGAACACCGGUGGCGAAGGCGGCCCACUGGAUCGGUACUGACGCUGAGGUGCGAAAGCGUGGGGAGCAAACAGG
rnacentral:rRNA from 1 species